rnacentral:rRNA from 1 species
CCUACGGGAGGCAGCAGUGGGGAAUUGUUCGCAAUGGGCGCAAGCCUGACGACGCAACGCCGCGUGGAGGAUGAAGGUCUUCGGAUUGUAAACUCCUGUUGCCCGGGACGAAUGGCUCCGACCUAACACGUCGGAGUUUGGCGGUACCGGGUGAGGAAGCCCCGGCUAACUCUGUGCCAGCAGCCGCGGUAAU